AAAUUGAAGAGUUUGAUCAUGGCUCAGAUUGAACGCUGGCGGCAGGCCUAACACAUGCAAGUCGAACGGUAACAGGAAGCAGCUUGCUGCUUUGCUGACGAGUGGCGGACGGGUGAGUAAUGUCUGGGAAACUGCCUGAUGGAGGGGGAUAACUACUGGAAACGGUAGCUAAUACCGCAUAACGUCGCAAGACCAAAGAGGGGGACCUUAGGGCCUCUUGCCAUCGGAUGUGCCCAGAUGGGAUUAGCUAGUAGGUGGGGUAAUGGCUCACCUAGGCGACGAUCCCUAGCUGGUCUGAGAGGAUGACCAGCCACACUGGAACUGAGACACGGUCCAGACUCCUACGGGAGGCAGCAGUGGGGA
rnacentral:rRNA from 1 species